GGAGCCCUGCAGCCCCGUCUCCUAGGAUGCCAUGCACCCGGCUGAGGGGCCCGGCUGACUGAAGUCCCAGUAAACCGCAGAGGCGGCUCCCGCCAGGCUCCCACGCAGCGUCUGCUCCCAAAUCACUGCUAGUGGACACUUGCUGGCUGGACAAGUGGACAAGGACAAUUGGUUGAGGUAAACAGGCUUGGACGUUUCCAGCCGAGUUGACGCUUUCCCUGGCCUGCUUGCUUGUCUCUGUACAGAGCUGUGCAGUUAGAUGAUUGUAUUCCCAUCAACUGAGAGCCGGCCCAUCUAAUUUAAUGCUCUUUAUAGCACAGCAAAUUCUGAUUUGGAGAGUGGGUGUGCAUGGAUGUUUGUGCAAUCCUAUUUACAAAGCGACUGAAGAAAAAAAACUCUAAGUGUUCCUGUGACAGAGAACAUGGUGUAGCUCACAGCUUGCCAGGGACGGCAGCUGGGAUGGCCUGGGAGGACCUCGGUGCCCGUCCUCACCGCUGGGGCGUGUCCGCCCUAGCACCCUGCGUGGGACUCAGGGCUCGGGUGGCCCCCGUCACCCUGUUCCCCAGGUCUGGGAGGGACACAGCUGUGUGCCAGCUGGGGGACAGGGGUGACCCCACACGGGGAAGCCGACUUAGCAAACUUACUCCAAAGCACGUUGCUUUGUGUUGUUAUUGUUGCUAAGCCCCAGUGACGAUUCUGAAAUCGAAUAUAAACUGUUUGUAUCAGGAAAGCCCCAAGGCGAGAACGUGUGUCACAGUGUUUAUGAGGCAGCUGAUAAAAGGCCCUCCACAGAGGGAAGGGGCUCUGUGGGGCACCCUGCUCCGUCCCAGCAGCCUCUGCCCGGAGGAGCAGUGCUGCUUGCCCUCAGCUCUGGUUUCCCCAGUGGGCAGAGCCGGCUCCCGACCCCAACCCCCUGGACCUGCUGUCGGCCACCUGCCGGUGUCCCUCAAACCUUUAGAGGGGAAGAGUGGGGCACCGGGGCUCGGCCAUGGCCUCCGGCGGGUCUCACCCCGCUUCUCCUAAGGCUGGCGCUGUACUGGGGACCUUGGACGCAGGCAUCCACAGCAGAUUCCUGAGACACCACCCCACCUCGAGGCACAGAUCGGAUGAGAAGAGUUUUGCAGAAAUGACCUUUCCGAGGCAACCCUUUACUUGGUAAUUAGUAUGACAGAUGAGCUGUCAGCCAGAGACCCAUUUAAGGACAUUCCCAGAACUCCUGGCCUCCCUGGGGGAGCCCCAUGAGGACCAAGGAGCAGGGACAUCAGGACCCCCAAGGCUCAAAGAAAGAGGCCCCCAGAGGGGAACCACACUCGCUGUGUCUCACGCACUCGGAAGGCGAGCAGCUCUGUGCACCGUGGAUGGAACCAGGUGAGCGGAGGCAGCCGGAUGGUGCCCACAGGACAGGAGGGGACUGCAGGCCAAAGCUCAGACUGGGCCACAGGGACCUGCGCAUGACCGGGAACAUCACUCCGCACACGGGGGCCAGGCUCAGCCUCAGCCCAGGAGUGUUUCUGCCUGAUUUCUCAAGGUGAAGAGAUGCACGCUGAGUGGAGUUACAAUUUGCCUGGACUCUGUUCUUUGUAGAGGACGUGCAUCCCUGUAGUACGAAAAGUCUUGAACAGAAGAAAAUAUGCUAUACUAUUGCUUGACCAAGCAAUUUUACCCAGGGCUUCACAGUGAGCUACACCCCAGUCUUUCUUCUUUUUUUAAAUUUUGAGGCAGGAUCUUACUAAGUUGCUAAGUCGCCCAAGCUAGGAUCAAAGUUGCAAACUUACAAUCCUCUUGCCUCAGCCUCCCGGAGUGCUGAGAUGACAGGCAUGCACCACCAUACCCAGCAUCUUUUCUUGUUUGUUAAUUUAACACUGGUAACUUCUUAAGAGGUGUGGAUGUCUCUGUGUAAUUAGAGAGUGGCAAAAAAUAAACAAAAAGGCAGGAAUGGGAUUCAGGCGGCUCUAGAGAAGGCCUAAGUUUCUGUUGUGGUUUCCUCCUCGGAAACACAGGAAGAUGUAGAUUAAAUAUCACAAGAGCUAAGGUCAGAUAACGUCAGGUCAAUUUAAACUGACAGCCACAUCUGAACUGUAUAAAAAAUAAACAUUCCGCCUCCCUGCAGGAGGAGUCCUAGUUAGGGUGCUUCUGGGGUAACCCCAGGCCAUGGUGCGGGGUACAGGGGCAGCACUAACCGCCAUCCUGAAGCAAGGCUGGUGCCUUCCCCAUCCACAUGGCAAGCUCCAGCCUUUGCAGAGGAGUCCCCCAGGCAGGCCCUGUGCUCCCAGCUCUCAGGGAUGAGGAUGGGGUCAGAAGGGGAGGGCUUCAGAGUCACAGUGGUGAGUGGACCUGCCAGCACCUGAGCCGUGCACUGGCUGCUUCCGGUGCAAAGCCUUCCUGCCCAGGCAAUCCAUUCGGGGGGGCAGGGGGGGGUCACAGAUGGGCGGGGAGCCAGGCUUUUGAGACCUUCAGCGGAGGAGCUGCCAUCCUCCACCCUCAAACUGGCCAGGUGGUGCCCAAAGCCUUGGCUGCUGGGAGGGACCAGGUGCAGCGGAGCCUGCAGACUUCUUGCUUAGGAGUGGGAGAAACUUCAGCCGGGUUGUCAGGAAAUUUCCCAGACAGUGCUGAAGGGAAGCCAGGAAUCUAAAAAAACUUGUGCAAUCCCUGCAUUGGGGCAUUUUUAGACACAGGGAAACAGACAAGAAAAGGAAACAGGUUCACUGGGGGAUGUAGGGUUCCUGACAUCUUUUCUCAGAGCACAACGUGAAGGACUGGGUGUGACAAGCAGCUAUUUCAAGCCUGGACAGGUAUUCCUGGAAACAAUCAGUGGUUAAACGAAGUACAUGGAGCUGUUUCUGUGGAGCUCGUGUCUUUUCGAGGGAAAGUCAGCUCCCCAAAGAGGGAACGGCGUCACCACCACCUCUCACGAGAACGCCUGACACACUGCAGUCUCGAUGCCUCCAGCCACCAGCCACCACCUCGCACGCAGAGCCACUGCAGCCCACAGUGCCCACGACAGGGUGCAGGUGCCAAAGGCUGAUGUCUCAUGCUGGGCAGCAGGAGGGCAGGGGUUUGCACCCCACCUGUGGGGCCUCAAUGUCCACACACAAGACCCUCAGAUCCACCUCAAGCAGGCUUCGUGUGCCAAAGGCUGAAAGUUGCUUACAAAAGAGAGUCCCAAGCUACCUGCUGGCCACAGCUCGGACUCUUAAGUUGAUGUUACCGCAACUGAAAAGGGAGCGUGCACCUGAACAGUUCGUUUACUUCCAUGUAGGUCACAUACAAAAUAAAAAGUGUAUCCAAGGUCCUGCCUGGGGCUGGGUGGAGCUCAGCAUGUGUCAGGCACUGGACUCCGACCUGCCCGGCCCUCCUCCUCCUACCCCAACAGGUCCAGCCAGGGAGGUUCUGGUAAGUGCCAACUUCUCUGUGGAGCAGACUCUGGACACGGCACACAACAGCGAUCACAGUGGCUGCUGCAGAUGCCUUUGGGGUUUUUCUGCUCUGUUUUCUCUCUAGUUCUUUCCGACCCAUUGCAAGAGAAAAAUGUGUGGAGAUCUUGGCGCUAUUCUGUUUAUGUUGCUAAGUUACUGAGUAUUUUGCCUCACCCUAGCCAGAAAACCAUGUUAAUGGUCUUUAAAGAGAUAAGCUACAUUCUGGAACAUCGCAGCAUAAGUGCCCGCAAUGGGCUCGGAGGUUCUGUGAAAUAGUCUCCCUUCCCUUAGGUAGUUUGCAGUGAAGCCUUAUUUGGGGAUUGAGUAGGUGCUGAUCUGAAAUGGAAACCUCCUAUGUUUGCCCCAAGCCCUGUGCAUCACACUCGGUGCGCACACAGGCACACACAUGCACUCGAGAGGCUGUUCAGAGGAAGAGCACGGGCAGCCUGAGCCAGACGGGCUGGAAAAGGGCAGGGAGCUGGCACCACGCCAGCCAGCCCUCUGUGACCCUCAAGGUGCAUAGAGUCCCGGGCCGUGUUUUGCUGUGCUCAGAUACCUUUUCAAACAAUAUUGUGAGAUAACCUUUAAUUUAUUUUUUAAUAUGCUGAAUUGAAACACUAACAGGUGAAAUGCAAUUGUAAGUAACAGAAAGCAAAUUAAACUUGUAGUCAAAGUGACUGCUUUCUUUCUUGGCUGUAAUAAAAAUGGAAAUCAGUACA